rnacentral:lncRNA from 1 species
UUCUCUCCCCCUUGAUAACACAGUGCACACACACCUUUCAUGUAUUUCAGAAAGUAAAGCCCUUGUUCGUGCAGUCUAAAAUUAACCUGGUAGAUCCCGGCUCUUCUGACAGUGACAGGCAUUCCUUGCCUAUGGUAGGUAACUUUUUCCCUAUUUAACAUUUAAUCAGUUGACAUUACUGAAUCUUAGUAAUGGAAUAUUCUGUUUUACCUUCAGGCAGACAAAUAUGCAGACAUAGUCAGUGAUCAGCUAUCCAUCAACGUGUCAUCAAAAGAGAAGCGGGCAGGAUCCGUGGAGGACACGGCGGAGAAGCCAGGGCUGCUCCAGAAGGCCCCUGUCAGCACCCGGGGCGACCUCUGAGGAGCCGCGCGCCCCGCGCCAGGCCCGCCUCCCCGGCCGGGGCCACUAGGCGCACGGCGCGUCUGAAGUCCCCGCUGCCGGCCUCCGCCU